UUAAAAGGAACGAAGGCUAAGAAUACCACCUCGUGUGGCAACGCCUUCGUGACCAACAUCCUGUUUG
rnacentral:sRNA from 1 species